rnacentral:rRNA from 1 species
ACGAGUGGCGGACGGGUGAGUAACACGUAGGUAACCUGCCCAGAAGCGGGGGACAACAUUUGGAAACAGAUGCUAAUACCGCAUAACAGCGUUGUUCGCAUGAACAACGCUUAAAAGAUGGCUUCUCGCUAUCACUUCUGGAUGGACCUGCGGUGCAUUAGCUUGUUGGUGGGGUAAUGGCCUACCAAGGCGAUGAUGCAUAGCCGAGUUGAGAGACUGAUCGGCCACAAUGGGACUGAGACACGGCCCAUACUCCUACGGGAGGCAGCAGUAGGGAAUCUUCCACAAUGGGCGCAAGCCUGAUGGAGCAACACCGCGUGAGUGAAGAAGGGUUUCGGCUCGUAAAGCUCUGUUGUUAAAGAAGAACACGUAUGAGAGUAACUGUUCAUACGUUGACGGUAUUUAACCAGAAAGUCACGGCUAACUACGUGCCAGCAGCCGCGGUAAUACGUAGGUGGCAAGCGUUAUCCGGAUUUAUUGGGCGUAAAGAGAGUGCAGGCGGUUUUCUAAGUCUGAUGUGAAAGCCUUCGGCUUAACCGGAGAAGUGCAUCGGAAACUGGAUAACUUGAGUGCAGAAGAGGGUAGUGGAACUCCAUGUGUAGCGGUGGAAUGCGUAGAUAUAUGGAAGAACACCAGUGGCGAAGGCGGCUACCUGGUCUGCAACUGACGCUGAGACUCGAAAGCAUGGGUAGCGAACAGGAUUAGAUACCCUGGUAGUCCAUGCCGUAAACGAUGAGUGCUAGGUGUUGGGAGGGUUUCCGCCCUUCAGUGCCGGAGCUAACGCAUUAAGCACUCCGCCUGGGGAGUACGACCGCAAGGUUGAAACUCAAAGGAAUUGACGGGGGCCCGCACAAGCGGUGGAGCAUGUGGUUUAAUUCGAAGCUACGCGAAGAACCUUACCAGGUCUUGACAUCUUGCGCCAACCCUAGAGAUAGGGCGUUUCCUUCGGGAACGCAAUGACAGGUGGUGCAUGGUCGUCGUCAGCUCGUGUCGUGAGAUGUUGGGUUAAGUCCCGCAACGAGCGCAACCCUUGUUACUAGUUGCCAGCAUUAAGUUGGGCACUCUAGUGAGACUGCCGGUGACAAACCGGAGGAAGGUGGGGACGACGUCAGAUCAUCAUGCCCCUUAUGACCUGGGCUACACACGUGCUACAAUGGACGGUACAACGAGUCGCGAACUCGCGAGGGCAAGCAAAUCUCUUAAAACCGUUCUCAGUUCGGACUGCAGGCUGCAACUCGCCUGCACGAAGUCGGAAUCGCUAGUAAUCGCGGAUCAGCAUGCCGCGGUGAAUACGUUCCCGGGCCUUGUACACACCGCCCGUCACACCAUGAGAGUUUGUAACACCCAAAGUCGGUGGGGUAACCUUUUAGGAGCCAGCCGCCUAAGGUGGGACAGAUGAUUAGGGGAAGUCGUAACA